CGCCAGACCCCUACGGGAGGCAGCAGUGAGGAAUAUUGGUCAAUGGGCGGGAGCCUGAACCAGCCAAGUCGCGUGAGGGAUGACGGCCCUAUGGGUUGUAAACCUCUUUUGCCGGGGAGCAAGGGCGGGGACGUGUCCCGGCCCGGAGAGUACCCGGAGAAAAAGCAUCGGCUAACUCCGUGCCAGCAGCCGCGGUAAUACGGAGGAUGCGAGCGUUAUCCGGAUUUAUUGGGUUUAAAGGGUGCGUAGGGGGGCUUUUAAGUCAGCGGUAAAAAUUCGGGGCUCAACCCCGUCCGGCCGUUGAAACUGGCGUUCUUGAGUGGGCGAGAAGUAUGCGGAAUGCGUGGUGUAGCGGUGAAAUGCAUAGAUAUCACGCAGAACUCCGAUUGCGAAGGCAGCUUACCAGUCUGCGACUGACGCUCAGGCACGAAAGUGUGGGUAUCGAACAGGAUUAGAUACCCGAGUAA
rnacentral:rRNA from 1 species